rnacentral:rRNA from 1 species
AACGAACGCUGGCGGCAUGCCUAACACAUGCAAGUCGAACGAGACCUUCGGGUCUAGUGGCGCACGGGUGCGUAACGCGUGGGAACCUGCCCUUAGGUUCGGAAUAACUCCCUGAAAGGGGUGCUAAUACCGGAUAAUGUCUUCGGACCAAAGAUUUAUCGCCUUUGGAUGGGCCCGCGUUGGAUUAGCUAGUUAGUAGGGUAAAAGCCUACCAAGGCGACGAUCCAUAGCUGGUCUGAGAGGAUGAUCAGCCACACUGGGAGUGAGACACGGCCCAGACUCCUACGGGAGGCAGCAGUGAGGAAUAUUGGACAAUGGGCGAAAGCCUGAUCCAGCAAUGCCGCGUGAGUGAUGAAGGUCUUAGGGUUGUAAAGCUCUUUUACCCGGGAUGAUAAUGACAGUACCGGGAGAAUAAGCGCCGGCUAACUCCGUG